rnacentral:pre_miRNA from 1 species
UUGAUUUAAAUCAUUGUAAGUUUACAUUUUAAAAAUUGAAUACAUACAAAAUGGUGAGACAUACAUUGAUUUCAUUCAA